rnacentral:lncRNA from 1 species
UUUAAAGUCCCUACACUUAACCAUUUUCAAGUGACUAAGUCACCAGCCAAACCAUAUUCAAAAUAAAAAAUUCUCUUUAAAGUUCCUACACUUAACCAUUUUCAAGCGACUAAGUCACCAACAAAACCACAUUCAAAAUAAAAAAAUCCUCUUUAAAGUUCAUACACUUAACCAUUUUCGAGUAACUAAGUCACUAACCAAACCACAUUCAAAAUAAAAAAUCUCCUUUAAAGUCCUUACACUAUACCAUUUUCAAGCAACUAAGUCACCAAUCAAACCACAUUCAAAACAUAAAAUCCCCUUGAAAGUCCCUAUACUUAACCAUUUUCAAGUGUCUAAGUCACCAACCAAACCACAUUCAAAUCACAAAAUUCCCUUUAAAGUCCAUAUACUUAACCGUUUUGAAGUGACUAAGUCACCAACCAAACCACAUUCAAAACAAAAAAUCUUCUUUAAAGUUCCAACACAACCAUUUUCAAAUAACUAAGUCACCAAUCAAACCAUAUUCAAAACAAAAAAAAAAUUCCUUUAAAGUCCCUACACUUAACCACAUUCAAUACAAAAGAAAAUUCUUUAAAGUCCCUACACUUAACCAUUUUCAAGUAAAUAAGUCACCAACCAAACCACAUUCUAAACACAAAAUCUCCUUUAAUGUCCCUGCACUUAACAAUUUUCAAGUGACUAAGUCAACAACUAAACCACAUUCAAAACACAAAAUUCCCUUUAAAAUCGCUACACUUAACUAUUUUCAAGUGACUAAGUCACCAACCUAACCACAUUAAAAAUAAAAAAUCUCCUUUAAAGUCACUACACUUAAUCAUUUCAAGUAACUAAGUCACCAACCAAACCACAUUCAAAAUACAAAAUCCCCUUUAAUGUCCCUACACUUAAUCAUUUUCAAGUGACUAAGUCACCAACCAAAUCGCAUUCAAAACAUAAAAUCCCCUUUAAAGUCCUACACUUUACCAUUUUUAAGUGACUACGUCACCUAGCUAACUACAUUCAAUAAAAAAAAAUCCCCUUUAAAGUCCCUACACUUAACCAUUUUUAAGUAGCUACGUCACCAACCAAACCAUAUUCUAAACACAUAAUCUCCUUUAAAUUCUCUACACUUAACCAUUUUCAAGCGACUAAGUCACCAACAAAACCACAUUCAAAAUAAAAAAAUCCUCUUUAAAGUUCGUACACUUAACCAUUUUCGAGUAACUAAGUCACUAACCAAACCACAUUCAAAUCAAAAAAUUCCCUUUAAAG